CGCUGGUUCCCAGUCUGCGGGUCUCAUUGCGCAUGUACCAAAUCGGAGCAUGAGCCUCGAAGGGUGCGUUUGCUGGAAAUUGGUGAUAUACAGCGAGUGUAGAUUAUUUUACUCGGUAUAAGAGGUCCUGUAUCUGAAUUUGGGACAAGGUGAAUGCUACAUCUUCUCUAUAAUGAGUUGAGCAAGAAAUAGGUCCUGUAUCUGAAUUUGGGACAAGGUGAAUACCAUAUCUUCUCUAUAAUGAGUUGAGCAAGAAAUAGGAUAGCUGGUGUUUCCAAGUUAUACGGUGCGGUCUCAAUUAAGCUUGAGGUCGGUUUGUGUGUAAAAGCGGUUUUUGCAUGAGUGGUGUAGUAUGUGAUUGAGGCAACUAUUGGAACCAGGUGAGUCCCUGGCUGAGGCCCUUUGAAAAUUUAUUUAUGGUUGGCUGAGUUUUGAUGGAGGAUCAGAAAAACAGUGGGCACAGAGGACCAGAGGAACAGUGGCACAGAGGACCAGUGGAAUAGUGGGAACAGAGAUCCAGAGGAACAGUGGGCACUUGGGCCAGUGGAACAGUGGGUACAGAGAACCAGUGGAACAGUGGGAACAGAGGACCAGAGGAACAGUGGACCAGAGGAACAGUGGGCACUUGGGCCAGUGGAACAGUGGGUACAGAGAACCAGUGGAGCAGUGGGUACAGAGGACCAGUGGGUACAAAGGACCAGAAGAACAGUGGGUACAGAGGACCAGAGGAACAGCGAGACCAGAAGAACAGUGGGCACAGAGGACCAGUGGGUACAGAGGACCAGAGGAACAUUGGGAACAGAGGAAUAGUGGGAACAGAGGAAUAGUGGGAACAGAGGAAUAGUGGGAACAGAGGAAUAGUGGGAACAGAGGGAUAGUGGGAACAGAGGAAUAGUGGGAACAGAGGAAUAAUGGGCACAGAGGACCAGAGGACCAGUGGGUACAGAGGACCAGAGGAACAGUGGGCACAGAGGACCAGUGGGUACAGAGAACCAGUGGAGCAGUGGGUACAGAGAACCAGUGGAGCAGUGGGUACAGAGGACCAGUGGGUACAGAGGACCAGAGGAACAGCAAGACCAGAGGACCAGUGAGUACAAAGGACCAGAGGAACAGUGGGAAUAGAAGAAUAGUGGGAACAGAGGAACUGUGGGCACAGAGGACCAGUUAGUACAGAGGGACAGUGGGCACAGAGGACCAGAGGAACAGUGGAUACAGAGGACUAAAGGAACAGUGGGUAUAGAGGACCAAAGGAACAGUGGGCACAGAGGAACAGAGGGAACAGAGGAACAGUGGGUACAAAAGACCAGGGGAACAGUGGGUACAGAAGACCAGAGAAAAAGUGAGUACAGAGGACCAGAGGAAGUUUGGGUGUAGAGGAAUGGGAGAACAGUGGGGAACAUGGGAAAAAAGGAUCGGAAAGAAGCCCCGAUUAUUAAGUUGCGAAGGUUGAUAUAUUUAGUUAUUUGCCAUGUUGUCGUUUGAGUUUUAUUUGUGAGAAAAGUAAAUUGUAAGAGCUAUUCUUAGGUUAAAUGAAUUUUAAAUAUUGAUAUUAAUGUUUGAGUACAUUAUAGUCCCAUAUAAAAAUUGAAUUAAAGAGUUGCGGCUAAUAUAACUAUUUUUAAAACCUUUUCUCAAGUUUCAAGAAAAAAUUAUCGAGAACUUGUAAUAUGUUACAGCUUAAUAUAGCAACAAGAUCUAUUCAUUUUCGAAGUGACUGUUUGUCUUAUGCGCAACAAUAACAAAAAUUCAACAAAGCUUUAAAAAAUUUAUGGCAUUCCUCAGCACGUUUGAUGGUGUUCACUUCUUUGAGGAACAUAGUUCAAUUUGUCUUUUCAAUAACGCAGCCUUACGGUCAGUUUGA